CACUCCUGCGGGAGGCAGCAGUGGGGAAUAUUGGACAAUGGGCGCAAGCCUGAUCCAGCCAUGCCGCGUGAGUGAUGAAGGCCCUAGGGUUGUAAAGCUCUUUCACCGGUGAAGAUAAUGACGGUAACCGGAGAAGAAGCCCCGGCUAACUUCGUGCCAGCAGCCGCGGUAAUACGAAGGGGGCUAGCGUUGUUCGGAUUUACUGGGCGUAAAGCGCACGUAGGCGGACUAUUAAGUCAGGGGUGAAAUCCCGGGGCUCAACCCCGGAACUGCCUUUGAUACUGGUAGUCUUGAGUUCGAGAGAGGUGAGUGGAAUUCCGAGUGUAGAGGUGAAAUUCGUAGAUAUUCGGAGGAACACCAGUGGCGAAGGCGGCUCACUGGCUCGAUACUGACGCUGAGGUGCGAAAGCGUGGGGAGCAAACAGGAUUAGAUACCCGGGUAGUCCCAUGA
rnacentral:rRNA from 1 species